rnacentral:rRNA from 1 species
GGCGGCGUGCUUACACAUGCAAGUCGAACGAUGAUCCCAGCUUGCUGGGGGAUUAGUGGCGAACGGGUGAGUAACACGUGAGUAACCUGCCCUUGACUCUGGGAUAAGCCUGGGAAACUGGGUCUAAUACCGGAUACGACCAUCUGGCGCAUGUCAUGGUGGUGGAAAGCUUUUGUGGUUUUGGAUGGACUCGCGGCCUAUCAGCUUGUUGGUGGGGUAAUGGCCUACCAAGGCGACGACGGGUAGCCGGCCUGAGAGGGUGACCGGCCACACUGGGACUGAGACACGGCCCAGACUCCUACGGGAGGCAGCAGUGGGGAAUAUUGCACAAUGGGCGCAAGCCUGAUGCAGCGACGCCGCGUGAGGGAUGACGGCCUUCGGGUUGUAAACCUCUUUCAGUAGGGAAGAAGCGUAAGUGACGGUACCUGCAGAAGAAGCGCCGGCUAACUACGUGCCAGCAGCCGCGGUAAUACGUAGGGCGCAAGCGUUAUCCGGAAUUAUUGGGCGUAAAGAGCUCGUAGGCGGUUUGUCGCGUCUGCUGUGAAAGACCGGGGCUCAACUCCGGUUCUGCAGUGGGUACGGGCAGACUAGAGUGCAGUAGGGGAGACUGGAAUUCCUGGUGUAGCGGUGAAAUGCGCAGAUAUCAGGAGGAACACCGAUGGCGAAGGCAGGUCUCUGGGCUGUAACUGACGCUGAGGAGCGAAAGCAUGGGGAGCGAACAGGAUUAGAUACCCUGGUAGUCCAUGCCGUAAACGUUGGGCACUAGGUGUGGGGGACAUUCCACGUUUUCCGCGCCGUAGCUAACGCAUUAAGUGCCCCGCCUGGGGAGUACGGCCGCAAGGCUAAAACUCAAAGGAAUUGACGGGGGCCCGCACAAGCGGCGGAGCAUGCGGAUUAAUUCGAUGCAACGCGAAGAACCUUACCAAGGCUUGACAUGAACCGGAAAGACCUGGAA